UUUAAGUAAUACUUAUACACUCCUGCUCAAAUUUAUCGUACAUCUUAUUUAUUCUAUAGAAUAACUUAUUAUUACUUCAUAUCUAUCAUUCUUCAUAUUAUAGUAUCAUGGUUCUUUACUCAGAUGAGAUAGGAGUCAACUUAAAUUCAAUGGAAAUGAAAUGUUUUUGAUGAAGAUUUGGGAAGUGAUUUUAUGAAGUUUCUCAGUCAACACAAGAACUUUUUAGAGGCAGUUUAAAUGUAUAUCAUAUGAUUUGCAACAAGUAUUGAGUAACUAAGUGAGAUUUUUUAGACCUGUUUUAAGGACUCAAGGAUAGGAGACUAAUAUACUUGAGCAGCAUGCGGUUUCAAUCAACCCUAGAAUUAAGAGACGCUUUCGCCACCGAAAUCCCCCUCCAGCUGAAGAGUCGGAGAAUAUUUUACAAUAACACCAUCAAAAAUCAAUCCACUUUGCAAUAUGCGCUAGAGGAGGCAAUAAAAUAAUUGGAAAGAACUUUCACUUUUUUCUAUUUUUUCCCUUUUUUAUUCUUAAAAAAAUAAAACAAAACAAAAUAAAAUACAAAUCAGGUUUUCACAGCUUAAGUUAUUAGAUUUUUUAUACUUUUUAUAGGUUGAUAAUACUGUUGCUGUCUAACAUUUUUUCGAGGAAACUCCGUUAAGACCUCAAAGAAGAGAAAAUAAGUUGAAUUUCUAUAAGUGUCACAUAUUUAAAAAGAAGAUUUGCAGCUUGUCUGCUCUUUCGGAGGAAAAAAUUCUUGGGAUUUGAGAACGGACGAACUGUUUUUACAGUUGACUUUUCCCCAGGAUAACGAGCUUUUCGCACCGUCAGAACAGUUUCACUCUGGAUAAACGAUUAAGACUUCGCAAUGUUGAAACAGUCUUCCUACUCUCCCGUCCUUAAGCUUAUUGAUAAAUUUCGUCAAUUCAAUUUAAAAUAAAAAAUAUUUGAUUAAAAAAUCCAAUAAAAGAUACAAAAAAUUAAAUUAGGUA